rnacentral:rRNA from 1 species
AUUCUAUAUAAAAUAUUAAUUAUAUAGAUAUAUCAAUAUAUAACACACACAAACCAUGGCCACAAUAUAUGUGAUCAUGGAAGGGUUUGAGCUUGAGGAGGUGAAGUUGGUGAGGUAAUAGCUUACCAAGGCGAUCAGUAGCUGGUUCGAGAGGAUGAUCAGUCACACUGGGACUGAGAUAAGGCCCAGACUCCUAUGGGAGGCAGCAGUGGGGAAUUUCCCGCAAUGGGCGAAAGCCUGAUGGAGCAAUACCGCAUGGAAGUAAAAGGCCUACGGGUCAUGAACUUCUUUUUUGGAGAAGAAACAAUGACGCUAUCCAGGGAAUAAGCAUCGGCUAUAUUUGUGCCAGCAGCCACAGUAAGCAGAGGAUGCCAACGUUAUCCAGAAUGAUUGGGCAUAAAGCGUCUAUAGGUGGCUUUUUAAGUUCGCCGUCAAAUCCCAGGGCUCAACCGUGGACAGGUGGCGGAAACUACUAAGCUGGAGUACGGUAGGGACAAAGGGGAUUUUCGGUGGACGAUGAAAUGCGUAGACAUCGAAAGGAACACUCACGGUGAAAGCACUCUGCUGGGUCGACACUGACACUGAGAGACGAAAGCUAGGGGAGCAAAUUGGAUUAGAGACCCCAGUAGUCCUAGCCGUAAACAAUGGAUACUAAGUGGUUGUGCGUAUCCACCCGUAUAAUGUUGUAGCUAACGCGUUAAGUAUCCAUCCUGGGGAGUACGUUCGCAAGAAUGAAACUCNAAGGAAUUGACGGGGGCCCGCACAAACGGUGGAGUAUGUGGUUUAAUUCGAUGCAAGCGAAGAACCUUAUUACCAGGGCUUGACAUGCCGCGAAUCCUCUUGAAAUGGAGGAGUGUCUUCCGGAACACGGACACAGGUGGUGCAUUGCUGUCGUCAGCUCGUGCCGUGAGGUGUUGGGUUAUGUCCCGCAACGAGUGCAAAAUUAACUCAUAUGUAGUUCGCUGCUUUGAUUUUGUGGGUGUGAAGAUGUGCAAAACCAAACGACUCAAAAAGCAUUAGCUCUCCCUGAAAAGGAGGUAAUCCAGCCACACCUUCCAAUACGGCUACCUUGUUACGACUUCACUCCAGUCACUAGCCCUGCCUUCGGCAUCUCCCUCCUUGCGGUUAAGGUAACGACUUCGGGCAUGGCCAGCUCCCAUAGUGUGACGGGCGGUGUGUACAAGGCUCGAGCGGAUUCACGCCCU